rnacentral:rRNA from 1 species
CAAAUUGCCCAAUGUCAAAAAAAAAACGAUGAGGCAGCGAAAAGAAAUAGAACCGGCAGUGCCAAUGGCAUUGCCGUUUUCAAUGGGGGAUACUUAAACCCAUCCAAAAUCGAGUAUCAAUUGGAGGACAAGUCUGGUGCCAGCACCCGCGGUA